CGCUCGCCGUAUCGCUCCCUCCAUCCAUCCGUCCAUCCACUCCUCCUCCACCUCUUCUUCGUUGGUGGUGUGCCGGUUGGAAGGACGCCCCCCCCCCGCGCUUUGACACACUUGCACACACGCAGCAACGCACACCUCCGCUAUGUGUCACUACCCGUUGCAGCUGCGUCUCCCCGUCGCUCCAUCUACCUACGCUUGCUCUUUUCCCACCUUUUUUUUGUUUUCUUUGCCGUCUGUCAGUCUUUGUCCCUCCUUGUUCUCAUCCCCACGCCAUCACCACGCCAUCACCGCUCCUCUGUUUCACAGGAGAAAAAGACCAACUAACGCUCUGGCCGACCAAAGUGAGAAAGAGAAGGAGGAGGAAAGAGAGAAAAGUUGAAGAGGAGAAGAAGGCGAGAAGCUGGAGAGUGCGUCUGGAGCGCGGCGGCUCCUCCUCACGCCUUGAGCCCGACUCUACUUUGAUGGAAUACCCCGGGACAGCGGAGGGCAGAAGGAGAGAGGAGGAGGAGGAGGAGAAGAAAAGGUGAAGGUGAAGGUGGACCGGGAGAAGAAACAGAGAGUGAGAGCCUCAGGAAGGCUCCAUCCAGUUCAGUCCCAUUGUCCUCACGCACACACACCUUGCGCACUCACGUGUGCGCGUGUCCUCCGGAGUGCAGCUGCAGCGGAGCGCCGGGUCCCGGUCCGAGGUCUUUGUGGAUCCGCUGCGGCGUCUGAUAGGCCAUGCCCUUCACCUGCGCCUGCUUCUGUGGCCUGAACAGCUUUUACCGUGGACUGGGAAAGAAGAAAAGGGAAAAAGUGGAGGAGGAGAAGGAGGAGGAAGAGGGUGACCGAUGGAGGGAUCAGGAGACAAAGGUGUGACAGCGCUGCUGUCCUCACCUUCAUCAGGGUAUUAUCCUUUAACAGACUGCAAUGUACAGCCCUGGGUUGUAUGCAUUAAGAUACUUUAACAGGGAUUGUUAGGGCGCCUCAUCGGGGUACAAGCUUUUUAUCGUUUAUAACAGAGAAAGGUUUUUGUCACAUAGGUUUCAGGAUUGACAUGUUUUGCUACUUUUUGAGCUUUAUAAACUCAACAAUGCUGUCUCAAGCCAUAUUCUUCAAGAAACCAAACCCCUAUUAACUCAAGCUCAGUGCCCUUAACCGUGCUACCUGCGCUCGAAUUUUCCCUUGGCAGCGGACCGUUUGAUCCAUUUCUCGCCAGUGGACUGUAUCAGGUCCCCCUCUUUCUCCCCCCAAAUCAUCUCCCCACCUAGUUGCUUUUGUUAGACUUUGCAGUAACUUCAGCCAAGAAGAAGAAGUGUACAGUUUUUUUCCAAAGUCACACUGGAGGGCCGGGAGCCUCAUCUUGGCUUUCACGCCUGAGCUGGGCCCGAUUGAAAGCAGAGCAGCUGUCCAAUCAGCGGCUUAGCUGAAGUGUGAAGAUAGGAGUCAAGGGGUCAGGAUGAGCAACAGGGCUUUACGAGACAUCCCUCCUCUGAUGCCAUAGCAUCUCAGUCUCAUCAAUAGGGAGACAAGUAAUUACAAAAUACACUCACACACACAAUGACGCGGGCCCAUCCAUUAAUGUCCCGCCCGGUGGGAGUGGAGUGUCGCUCCGUAAAUGCCACCGCCGUGCGCUUCUAGCUGCCAGCCGCGUGGCAGUGCGCGACUCCGCGUGCUCGUCUGUCUCCUCGACUGCAACAAUAGCCUUUGAAAGCCUGAAACAGUGGCCAACAGAUCUAUUCAGCUGCCACGGAACUGGCUUUUCACGAUUGCCCAUCGAGCCACAAACACACACGCAGGUCUCAUUAGGCGCAUGCCAUUAUGCGUGGCACGUCCGGUCGGGCGGCAGAGAUGUAAUUAACCUUUUCCUGCAGGAAACAGAUGCCUUACGCACACACCGCACACACACACACACACACACACACACACACGCGCGCGUCUGCUGUCAGGGAAACAAAGCCGACGUCACCGUGUCACAGAGAAACAAAGCCCCAAAAGAGCCGCCUGGCACUCUCUGAUAAUCCCCCUCACCCAUAUUUACAAUCAGGGCUUAGAAUACGCCUCGCCGCCGCCGUCUCCUUCCACUGCCGCACUCAGUUACCAGCACCACCACCAUCCGUGCCUCCACCCAUCCAUCUUCUUUCCCUCCUAUCUGUCCACCUUCCAUCACAUUCACCCUUUACCUCCCUCGAUCUCUUCCCCUCAUCCAUCUUUUACAUCCCAGCUGCAAAACUCCUUUGCGGGGAUUUGGUUUAUCGUCAGUGUGUCGUACGCGGCCUUGCACGCCAUCAACCGCGGAUUAUCGCCCACCCACACGCUGACUCUCUUCAUCCCCGAACAACAGGAAUUUAUUUAGGCGGACCAGAAGAAAACUGCUUCACGACAGAUUAAUGGACGGCCCCGAUAGCGUCAGCGGGUGUGUUUCUGUGCUUCUGUGUGUUUACUCAUUUCCCAGCUGCAAUCGGCGAGACGAGACAAAGCUGAAGACAUUUCACAGUGCGGAGCACCUAUUAUGAUUCACGGUGUUACGACGCGGCCCUAAUGAGAAAAA